CGAGGCGGGAGGCACACACGGAUAUGAAGGAGGAGAAAAUGGAGAGUCGGCCGGGGCGAGGAGUUCGCUGGCGUUGAAGCCACGGACCACGGUGCUGCAAGCUUUCAGGGGGCGGUGGCCAUGGGGGGGAGGCGGCGCUGAGGUCGGGCCGCAUGCCUCCUUUGUCGCUCCUUCUUUCUUUCUUCCCCAACUCCUCUCUUGCACGUCGUCGUCUUGCCGCCCAAACAACAAAGAGAUCGAGGAAGAGGCGGGAGUUGGGAGAUGCGGCCGCGAGGGCGCCGCAUCAGUUCGCGGUAGUGAGGCGGAGAUGCGGCGCUGCGCUCCCGGGAUGCAGUAGCGAGGCAUCGAGGCAGCGCUGCGCUCGGGCACCACAUCAAGCGGCAGCAGUGAGGCAGGAGGCGCACACGGAGAUGAAGGAGGAGAAAAUGGAGAGUCGGCCGGGGCGAGGAGUUCGUCGGCGUCGAAGCCAUGGACCACAGUGCUGCAAUCUUGCAGGGGGCGGUGGCCAUGGCGGGGAGGCAGCGCUGAGCUCGGGCGCCGCAUGCCUCCUUUGCCGCUCCUUCUUUCUUUCUUCCCCAACUCCUCUCUUGCACAUCGUCAUCUUGCCGCCCAUGCAGCAAAUAGAUCGAGGAAGAGGCGAGAGUCGGGUCAAUCAAUCUGUCGCAUGAGGAUGCGGCACUUCCUGUUCCAUCUAGAUCAACGGGCGCAGAGGGAGGUGGAAGAAGAGCCACGACCACCGAGCAAGAGGCUGCCGCCUAGCACGCAUCUUACUGCGGCUAUUUUAUCCAUGAGCUGGUGGAUAAGAGAAGUGCAUCUCUAAAAUUCAGAGUUUUGAACCCAAAGAGACGCAUCUAGACAAUGGUUGCAUGAGUGGUUCCUGUGUCAUAUACGCCAACAUGGUUGGAGAUUUGGGAUCGGAUGCUGCGCCAAGAACGAGGGACCAAGGUGCUGAAUUAACAGCAGGGGCAGAAUGAUUCUUCAGGAUGAAUCAGAAACUAAAGAUGAUGAUCCCAUGGACACAGAAGAAGCUUCCUCUGUCCUUAUUGCUGCACUGCAGUCUUUCAACCAAGCUCUAGUGAAUGACGAUGAAGAAAAAGAUACCGUGACAGAGGUAGAUGUCUUCUUGCGUCCUACCCUAGAUGACAGGGGCUCUCUCGUCAGCAAAAUAGCUACUCUGGAUGCGCAGAUGACGAUCGCAAGAGACUGUACCUUACGGAUAAGUAAAUGACUCUGAGGUCUACAUGUCAAGUAUAGAAAGAAAAACCUGACGACGACAAGUGUACUGUCGGGAGCUUUGCUGCCACUUCUUUGCCAGCCGGAGUGGCCUGUUUUUAGUGAUGAUCAUGGUGUACAUGCGUGUAUAUGUUGUGUUAUGAUAGACUGUACUACAAAAUUUUCUUGGAAUUGGUA